rnacentral:rRNA from 1 species
CGUGAGCGGCGGACGGGUGAGUAACGCGUGGGUAACCUGCCUCAUACAGGGGGAUAACAGUCAGAAAUGACUGCUAAUACCGCAUAAGACCACGGUACCGCAUGGUACAGUGGUAAAAACUCCGGUGGUAUGAGAUGGACCCGCGUCUGAUUAGGUAGUUGGUGGGGUAACGGCCUACCAAGCCGACGAUCAGUAGCCGACCUGAGAGGGUGACCGGCCACAUUGGGACUGAGACACGGCCCAA